rnacentral:misc_RNA from 1 species
UUGAUUGUGAUUAAAAAGCUUAAAGUAUGUGUUUAUAUUUUUUACUGGUGAUUUAUAAGCAACUAUUUUUUUCAUAAUUAUAGAUUAUUAUUGUUGUAGAUAAUUUAUUGAACAAGUGAGCCAACUGAAAUCUUCUUGCUUUUCCUACAUAAAAGUUUCAUUCAUCAUCAAUGAAUUGGAAUCUGGUGGACUUGGGUCUAACUUGCCCAAGUACCUGUAACAUUAUAUACAUGUUAUCGACUAUUUUUCUUUUGAGGUUGGAAGUUGAAACUCUUCUCAGGGAAAGGAGGUUUGACUUGUCAUCUAAUUUGUAGGAAUGGGUCCUGG